rnacentral:rRNA from 1 species
AGUGAACGCUGGCGGUAGGCCUAACACAUGCAAGUCGAACGGCAGCACAGUAAGAGCUUGCUCUUACGGGUGGCGAGUGGCGGACGGGUGAGGAAUACAUCGGAAUCUACUUUUUCGUGGGGGAUAACGUAGGGAAACUUACGCUAAUACCGCAUACGACCUACGGGUGAAAGCAGGGGAUCUUCGGACCUUGCGCGAUUGAAUGAGCCGAUGUCGGAUCAGCUAGUUGGCGGGGUAAAGGCCCACCAAGGCGACGAUCCGUAGCUGGUCUGAGAGGAUGAUCAGCCACACUGGAACUGAGACACGGUCCAGACUCCUACGGGAGGCAGCAGUGGGGAAUAUUGGACAAUGGGCGCAAGCCUGAUCCAGCCAUACCGCGUGGGUGAAGAAGGCCUUCGGGCUGUAAAGCCCUUUUGUUGGGAAAGAAAAGCAGCAGGUUAAUACCCCGCUGUUCUGACGGUACCCAAAGAAUAAGCACCGGCUAACUUCGUG